ensembl:snoRNA
UAGACCAAUGAUGCGAAUUGCAGGCGUAUGAGUAUUGGAUGAUGAAUAAUACGUGUCUGGAACUCUGAGGUUCAA